UCAUACAUUUUGCAAAUGUAACACUUUUUCUUCCACUUUGACAGAGUAUUUUGUGUAGAUUGUUGACAAAAAAAACUGACAAUUAAAUCCAUUUUAAUCCCACUUUGUAACGCAACUAAAUGUGGGAAAAGUCAAGGGGUUUCAUACUCUCUGAAGGCACUGUAAAAAGCUAACCAAAGUCCUUUGUAGAAUUUGUAUGAAGCCAUAUCAUAUCUCUAUUAAAACAUUCAGUUCUAACAGCAGCAUUAGGUAAAGCCACUGGAGCAUGUUCAAUUUUUUGGCCCAUGCAGUCUGGCGUGCUACUGUUAGAACACUUACUAUAUGUGGCGGUCAGUCAAGUGGCCAUUUUGUCCUGUUUAGGUCAAAAAAGAUAAUGGCAAAUGGCCAACAGCGAGGGCACAAGAAGCAUAGCAUAGUAGUCUCUAUUACGCAACGAAUGACUCGUCUUUAUGAUUCUUGUUUGAGGUACUGUAUUUGAAGGCAUUAAAAGCCCCUUGGAAGCAACCAGUUUUAUUCAGAUAAAAUAAAAGCACACACUUGGAGGACGAAGGGGGAAUUCAAUGUUCCAAAGCGUUAUUGUCCAUUUCAGGGUAAACAUUUCUAUUCCAUUUUGACAUGGUUUCCACAGUAGACACAUAAUACAAUUGAUGAUUAAAAGCUGAUGCAGGAGGGAAGUGGGUCUGUUUGUAAGAGAGUAGAGGAGAAGUAACGGGUUUAAACAAGGCUGUGUGGUGGUAGCUGGAGACCUCGUUUGGAGACUGUUGGAACAAACAGACAAGAUGGGACAUGAUCUAAUGUGCUAUGGUGUUAGAACAGCAGGGCUGAGGACAUUUUAUCUCUUCACUCACGCACCAGCAGACACUCACUUACCAUUCUGGAUUGCUGGGGAUGCAUCUCAGUAGUCUAAAGUGGUUUCCUUUCCUUGUCUUCUUUUCCUCAGUUACACUUUAAGGCCACUUAAAGGAAAACUCCACCAAAAAACUAUCUUUUGGUAUUUGUUUGGUAUUAGUCCAUUGUUGAUAUAGUCCCAAAAUGCUUUGCAUGACAGAAAUCAAGUAUUCAAGACACAGUUUAUAACUUUCAAAAUACAGAAAUACAGCAGGCAUUCCUCCCAUCAUCUCCUGUCCUCACCACCAGGCACUCACUCACUCUCUGUAUGCAUCUCAAUCCACAAAUUGUUUCUUCUCCUUGUCCCUUGUCCACACUCAUAACCACUAGGCACUCUCUCUCUCUCUCUCUCUCUCUCUCUCUCUCUCUCUCUCUUUCUCUCUUUUUCUCUCUCUCUGGUCUGACUGCAUCUCAAUCUCGUUCUAGUAAAUUGACCCUUCCCUUCUGCUCUCGUUCACUCCCCUUUGCAGAUCUCAAAUGAGACCGGGUAAGUGUUAAAGACAGACUUGUCAGUGCUGAUGGAGGAAAAGAGAUGUGCCGUGAAAUAACACUGUCUACCUGUGAAUCAUAGACUGCCUGCUGAAAUUGGCAAAAGCUUUUCAUCACGAUUUUACACUCCUCCCUCACAAUCCACCAGUGUAGUGAUAUUGUGUUAUUACAGAUUUCCGCACUCUGUACUAUCCACUGAGAAUCAAUCCCCACAUCUUUACUCACUGUCCUAUUUUGCUGAGUGUGUCUUGCUUCAUGAAGGCUUCCUUACAAACAAGAGAAAUGAGAGAGGGGGUGAAGAGAUGAGAUAGAGAGGGUGAGGGGUUAGAGGAGUGAAAGAUGGAGAGAGUAUUACAGUAAGAGAGUGAAAGUAAGGGAAUGAGAAUUAGGACAGGGAGUGAAGACUUGAGGGAGUGAGCAUGAGGUAUUAAAGGAAAGAAUAAAGAGAUGGUGAGAUAGAAAGGGUGAGAGUCUGAGGGAUUGAAAGAUUGAUGAGAGGAACGCGGAAGAGUGUGAAAGGAUGAGUGAACUUUUUGAUUUUGAAAUAGGUGUGUUUUACAUGCACCAAAUACCUGUAUGCUGUACUAAUUAUAAUUGUACCUACAUUUUAUGCUCUCGCUCCAUUUCCUGUUAAUCUCUCUAUUAAUCUACACUGUGUAACCGCUGACAACCUAGAAACUUAACCCAUUUUCUAUUUGUUGUCCUUACAGGAAGGGCCUUAUAUGGAACUUGUCUGACUUCGGAGUAAUUCUAAGUGGGAGGAGAGGUUUUGUUUAGGCACUUUUACAUGUCUGAAUUAAACCCAUAUUAUGAUCGUCAGAAUUGAAUUAAAUUAAAUUCUUAGAGGUACUGAUUUUUUGCUUCCAUGUGAUUUUAGGUGACACAUGUUUGCAAUGGAAGUAAUAACUCAGAGGAAGAUUGUGUGAGUUGAGUUCAAUGGGUAGAAAUCAACCUCUACCUCCUUCCGCAACAACCCAAUUUAAUUAUGCCAGCUAAUUUAUUUGUGCCAUGCAGUGGUAUAAAUGUUGAAAGUUGAGGCUGUCCAAACGAAGCUCCAAGGUGCAAUUUAAGAGACUCCUAGUCCCAGGCCUCCGCUUUUCCAGCAUCCUCUGCUUCCUUGUCACCUAAUGAGCUCAACCAAUCAGCGGUCUGGGUUCAGAUGCCUUUGAAGGCAUGACAACAGAGCUUGAGGUCACUGAGGCGGAAAAGUAGAAAGAAAUGGAGAACAGAUCAACUAUAAGCUCACACACACACACGCACAAGAAGUGUAUUGGUGUGUGGAGAAGGACAGAACAAUGAUUCUUCAAUCAAUCAAAUUUCAUGUGUAUAUUUAUUUUUGCAAAUAAUCUGAGCCUAUAGAUUCCCAACAAGCAAGCAGAGGCGACAGUGGCAAGGAAAAACCUGCAGAGGCACCAGGCUCGAGAGGCAGUCCAUCUUCUUCUGGCUUGCCAAGGUGUUCGUGAAAUCGGCAGCAUCCUCUUCACAUUCCUCAUCAGCAUCUUCUGGUACCAGACAACAUCUGGUUGGCCUGGGCUGUGAGUGGGCUGUGUGUGAUGCUAGCCAUGUUCCUGGGAGCUCCUACCUAUCUCAUGAACGUAGAUGGUCAUAUGGAUAACUAUACGCAAGACGGAGGCUGCCCUCCAGACUUCAUCCAGUGGCCCAAGGAGAACUGCCCGACCAUUAACGGUGUCUUCAGGUGCUGCUGGUUCAGAGGAGGGUGGUGGUGCCAGCGCUGAGUGCAGCAGGGGCGCCAGUGGAGCAGCCUCCCAGGAAGAAGGUCUCUACCUGGGGAUCGAAAGGAACACAGUGGGCAUCCUGGCUGCCAUGGGGGUGUUCCAGGUGGAAUGGAUCCUUCAGUCCCUACGACUUCCCCUUUUGGACCGAGGUGGAGUUCUUCAUCACAACGUCCUAUAUCACAAUCAGCCCUUAUGUGUAUGGGAUAGGGAGUAACCUGUUUUCUGUGAAACACUUUAAGAAGUAAUGGAAGAAAGACUUUUUAGGCCUUAGGUGUCAGGUGUAAGCAAUUUUCUGUGCAGUAUGAUUAUGGGAUAAGGGAAUAACCUCUUCUCUGAAACAUGUAACAAAGUAAUUGUGGUAUAUUUAUAAACCCUCUGUGUUAGAUGUAGGUGAUUCUCUAUUUUCUCUGAAGUAAUUUUAAGAAGUCAAAGCACGGUUUUUAGACGUAAACUACCGGUCAAACGUUUUAGAAAUCCUACUCAUUCCAGGGUUUUUCUUUAUCUUUUACUAUUUUCUACAUUGUGGAAUAAUAGUGAAGACAUCAAAACUAUUAAAUAAAACAUAUGGAAUAAUGUAGUAACCAAAAGUGUUAAACGAAUCAAAAUAUAUUUUAUAUUUGAGAUUCUUCAAAUAGCCACCCUUUGCCUUGAUGAAAGCUUUGCAAACUCCUGGCAUUCUCAACCAGCUUCAUGAGGUAGUUACAUAGAAUGUAUUUCAAUUAACAGGUGUGCCUUAAAAGUGAAUUUGUGAAAUGUAUUUCCUUCUUAAUGCAUUUGAGCCAAUCAGUUGUGUUGUGACAAGGUAGGGGUGGUAUACAGAAGAUAGUCCUAUUUGGUAAAAGACCGAGUCCAUAUUAUGGCAAGAACAGCUCAAAUAAGCAGAGAAACGACAGUCCAUCAUUAAUUUAAGACAUGAAGGUCAGUCAAUACGGAAAAUGUCUAGAACUUUGAACGUUUCUUAAAGUGCAUUUGCAAAAAUCAUCAAGCGCUUUGAUGAAACUGGCUCUCACGAGGACUGCCACAGGAAAGGAAGACCCAGAGUUACCUCUGCUGCAGAGGAUAAGUUCAUUAGAGUUACCAGCCUCAGAAAUGGCAGCCCAAAUAAAUGGUUUGCAGAGUUCAAGUAACAGACACAUCUCAACAUCAACUGUUCAGAGGAGACUGCGUGAAUCCUGUCUUCAUGGUUGAAUUACUGCAAAGAAACCACUACUAAAGAACACCAAUAAGAAGAAAAGACUUGCUUGGGUCAAGAAACACGAGCAAUGGACAUUAGACCAGUGGAAAUCUGUCUUUUGGUCUGAUGAAUCCAAAUUCGAGAUUUUUGGUUCAAACCGCUGUGUCUUUUGAGACGCAGAGUGAACGGAUGAUCUCCGCAUGUGUGAAGCAUGGAGGAGGAGGUGUGAUGGUGUGGAGGGGCUUUGCUGGUGACACUGCCUGUGAUUUAUUCAAGGCACACUUAACCAGCAUGGCUACCACAGCAUUCUGCAGUGAUACGUCAUCCCAUCUGGUUUGCGCUUAGUGGGACUAUCAUUUUUUCCCCAAAAGAACAAUGACCCAAAACAAACAUCCGGGGUGUGUAAGGGCUAUUUGACCAAGAAGGAGAGUGAUGGAGUGCUGCAUCAGAUGACCUGGCCUCCACAAUCAUCUGACCUCAACCCAAUUGAGAUGGUUUGGGAUGAGUUGGACCACAGAGUAAAGGAAAAGCAGCCAACAAGUACUCCGCAUAUGUGAGAACUCCUUCAAGACUGCUGGAAAAGCAUUCCUCAUGAAGUUGGUUGAGAGAAUUUCAAGAGUGUGCAAAGCUGUCAUCAAGGCAAAGGGUGGCUACUUUGAAGAAUCUAAAAUAUAUUUUUAAUUGUUUAACACAUUUUUUUUUGUUACUACAUGAUUCCGUAUGUGUUAUUUCUUAGUUUUGAUGUCUUCACUAUUAUUCUACAAUGUAGAAAAUAGUGAAAAUAAAUGUAAAAAACCUUGAAUGAGUAGGUGUGUCCAAACUUUUGACUGGUACUGUGUGUGUGUGUGUGUGUGUGUGUGUGUGUGUGUGUGUGUGUGUGUGUGUGUGUACAGUUGAAGUCUUAAGUUUACAUACACCUCAGCCAAAUACAUUUAAAUUGUGUUUUUUGCAAUUCCUGACAUUUAAUCCUAGUAAAAAUUCCCUGUCUUAGGUCAGUUAGGAUCACCACUUUAUUUUAAGAAUGUGAAAUGUCAGAAUAAUAGUAGAGAGAAUGAUUUAUUUCAGCUUUUAUUUCAUUCAUCACAUACCUAGUGGGUUAGAAGUUUACAUACACUCAAUUAGUAUUUGGUAGCAUUGCCUUUAAAUUGUUUAACUUGGGUCAAACGUUUCAGGUAGCCUUCCACAAGAUUCCCACCAUAAAUUUGAUUAAUUUUGGCCCAUUUCUCCUGACAGAGCUGGUGUAACUGAGUCAGGUUUGUAGCCCUCCUUGCUCGCACACGCUUUUUCAGUUCUACCCACAAAUGUUCUAUAGGGUUGAGGUCAGGGCUUUGUGAUGACCACUCCAAUACCUUGACUUUGUAUACCCAUUUUGCCACAACUUUGGAAAUAUGCUUGGGGUCAUUGUCCAUUUGAAGAUCCAAGCAUUAACUUCCUGACUGAUGUCUAGAUAUGUUGCUUGAAUAUAUCCGCAUCAUUUUCCUUCCUCAUGCAGCUAUCUAUUUUGUGAAGUGCUCCAGCCCCUCCUGCAGCAAAGCACGCCCACAACAUGAUGCUGCCACCCCUGUGCUUAAUGGUUGGGAUGGUGUUCUUCGGCUUGCAAGCCUCCCCCUUUUUCCUCCAAAUAUAACGAUGGUCAUUGUGGCCAAACAGUUCUAUUUUUGUUUCAUCAGACCAGAGGACAUUUCUCCAAAAAGUACAAUCUUUGUCCCCAUGUGCAGUUGCAAACCGUAGUCUGGCUUUUUUUAUGGAGGUUUUGGAGCAGUGGCUUCUUCCUUGUUGAGCGGCCUUUCAGGUUAUGUCGAUAUAGGACUCGUUGUACUGUGGAUAUAGAUACUUUUGUACCUGUUUCCUCCAGCAUCUUCACAAGGUCCUUUGCUGUUGUUCUGGGAUUGAUUUGCACCUUUCGCACCAAAGUACGUUAAUCUCUAGGAGACAGAACGCGUCUCCUUCCUGUGUGGUAUAACGGCUGCGUGGCCCCAUGGUAUUUAUACUUGCAUACUAUUGUUUGUACAGAUGAACGUGGUACCUUCAGGCGUUUGGAAAUUUCUCCCAAGGAUGAACCAGACUUGUGGAGGUCCACAAUUUAGCUGAUUUGUUUUUAUUUUCCCAUGAUGUCAAGCAAAGAGGCACUGAGUUUGAAGGUAGGCCUUGAAAUACAUCCACAAGUACACCUCCAAUUGACUCAAAUGAUGUCAAUUAGCCUAUCAGAAGCUUCUAAAGCCAUGACAUAAUUUUCAGGUAUUUUCCAAGCUGUUUAUAAGCACAGUCAACUUCGUGUAUGUAAACUUCUGACUCACUGGAAUUGUGAUACAGUGAAUUAUAAGUGAAAUAAUCUGUCUGUAAACAAUUGUUGGAAAAGUGACUUGUGUCAUGUACAAAGUAGAUGUCCUAACCGACUUGCCAAAACUAUAGUUUCUUAACAAGAAAUUUGUGGAGUGGUUGAAAAACGAGUUUUAAUCACUCCAACCUAAGUGUAUGUAAACUUCCGACUUCAACUGUAUAUAUAACAUUGAACUCUGUCUAUGAUUGAAUGUAUGACACAGAGUGCCCAUGACACAGAGUGCCCAUGACACUUGACAACAAUGAAAAUAAGUCUUGACUUUUUGUUUAUGUAACCUCAACAGGUUUGGUAUAUGUAUCUGUUGCCUGGUGCAACAUUUUGUGUAUUUUAAAUUGUCAAAUAAAAUCAUACUGGGAACUAUC
ensembl:lncRNA